GAUGAACGCUGGCGGCGUGCCUAAUACAUGCCAGUCGAGCGAACGGACGAGAAGCUUGCUUUUCUGAUGUUAGCGGCGGACGGGUGAGUAACACGUGGAUACCCUACCUAUAAGACUGGGAUAACUUCGGGAAACCGGAGCUAAUACCGGAUAAUAUUUUGAACCGCAUGGUUCAAAAGUGAAAGACGGUCUUGCUGUCACUUAUAGCUGGAUCCGCGCUGCAUUAGCUAGUUGGUAAGGUAACGGCUUACCAAGGCAACGAUGCAUAGCCGACCUGAGAGGGUGAUCGGCCACACUGGAACUGAGACACGGUCCAGACUCCUACGGGAGGCAGCAGUAGGGAAUCUUCCGCAAUGGGCGAAAGCCUGACGGAGCAACGCCGCGUGAGUGAUGAAGGUCUUCGGAUCGUAAAACUCUGUUAUUAGGGAAGAACAUAUGUGUAAGUAACUGUGCACAUCUUGACGGUACCUAAUCAGAAAGCCACGGCUAACUACGUG
rnacentral:rRNA from 1 species